GAUGAACGCGGCGGCGUGCUUAACACAUGCAAGUCGAACGAGAGAUACAGGAGGAAGUUUUCGGACGGAAUCCGGUAGAUCGAGUGGCGGACGGGUGAGUAACGCGUGGGGAACCUGCCUCAUACAGGGGGAUAACAGUUGGAAACGACUGUUAAUACCGCAUAAGACCACAGAGUCGCAUGACUCAGGGGUAAAAACUCCGGUGGUAUGAGAUGGACCCGCGUUCGAUUAGCCAGUUGGCGGGGUAACGGCCCACCAAAGCGACGAUCGAUAGCCGAUUUGAGAGAAUGACCGGCCACAUUGGGACUGAGACACGGCCCAAACUCCUACGGGAGGCAGCAGUGGGGAAUAUUGCACAAUGGGGGGAACCCUGAUGCAGCGACGCCGCGUGAGUGAAGAAGUAUUUCGGUAUGUAAAGCUCUAUCAGCAGGGAAGAAGAUGACGGUACCUGAU
rnacentral:rRNA from 1 species